rnacentral:rRNA from 1 species
GGCAAAGGAUGUGCGUCCGCCCAGACAACCAGGAUGUUGGCUUAGAAGCAGCCAUCCAUUCAAAGAGUGCGUAACAGCUCACUGGUCGAGUGGACAUGCGCCGACAAUACACGGGGCUAAGCUGGACACCGAAGCGGCGGGAUUUUAAUUCAUUAGAAUCGGUAGGGGAGCUUCCCAUGGGCGGAGAAGCCGGAGGGCGACCGACGGUGGAGCGCAUGGGAGUGAGAAUGCUGGCAUGAGUAGCGAGAGACGAGAGAGUAACUCGUCCGCCGUGAACCCGAGGUUUCCUGGGCAAGGCUAAUCCUCCCAGGGUCAGUCGGGGGCUAAGGCGAGGCCGGUAGGCGUAGCCGACGCGCAGCAGGCAGACAUUCCUGCACCGCGCACGCGGCGCUACGACCGACGGGGCGACGGAUGGGGGUGGCUCGGCGGGGUUCUGGACGUCCCCGUGAUGGAGCGCGGCCCGCGGACCAGGGAAAUCCGGUCCGCAUUGAGGGCGAGGCUCCGGACGAAGCGAUUGAGCGAAGCGAGUGAGCCCGAGGUCCCUAGAAAAACCCCUAGGCAGGCGCGUGCGCGCCCGUACCGCAAACCGACACAGGUGGGUGGGUAGAACAUACCGAGGCGAUCGGGUCAACCAUGGUCAAGGAACUCGGCACAAUGGCCCCGUAACUUCGGGAGAAGGGGUGCCCGCGCGUACGUGAACCGGCUUGCCCGGGGAGCGGAGGCGGGCCGCAGUGGAGAGGCCCAAGCGACUGUUUACCAAAAACACAGGACUCUGCAGAAGCCGCAAGGCGACGUAUAGGGUCUGACGCCUGCCCGGUGCCGGAAGGUCACGCGGAGGAGUUAGCGCAUCGCGCGAAGCCCCGAAGCCAAGCCCCGGUAAACGGCGGCCGUAACUAUAACGGUCCUAAGGUAGCGAAAUUCCUUGUCGGGUAAGUUCCGACCUGCACGAAAGGCGCAACGACUUGGGCGCUGUCUCGACCAUGGACCCGGUGAAAUUGCACUGGUCGUGAAGAUGCGACUUACCCGCGGAAGGACGGAAAGACCCCGUGAACCUUCACUGCAGCUUGGCAUUGGCCGCUGGUCCCGCGUGUAGAGGAUAGGCAGGAGGCACAGAUCCGGAGGCGCCAGCCCCCGGGGAGCCGCCCUUGGAAUACUGCCCUCGCGCGACCGGCGUCCUAACCCGAGGCCGUCAACCGGCUCGGGGACCGUGCCAGGCGGGCAGUUUGACUGGGGCGGUCGCCUCCUAAAGGGUAACGGAGGCGCGCGAAGGUCCGCUCGGGACGGUCGGCAACCGUCCUUUUGAAUGCAAGAGUACAAGCGGGCUUGACUGCGAGGCCCACAAGCCGAGCAGGUGCGAAAGCAGGCUCUAGUGAUCCGGCGGCCCCGAGUGGGUGGGCCGUCGCUCAACGGAUAAAAGGUACUCCGGGGAUAACAGGCUGAUCUUGCCCA